UGGGGAAUAUUGCACAAUGGGCGCAAGCCUGAUGCAGCAACGCCGCGUGAGGGACGACGGCCUUCGGGUUGUAAACCUCUUUUGGCAGGGAAGAAGCGAAAGUGACGGUACCUGCAGAAAAAGCACCGGCUAACUACGUGCCAGCAGCCGCGGUGAUACGUAGGGUGCAAGCGUUGUCCGGAAUUAUUGGGCGUAAAGAGCUCGUAGGCGGUUUGUCGCGUCUGCUGUGAAAACCCGAGGCUCAACCUCGGGCCUGCAGUGGGUACGGGCAAACUAGAGUGCGGUAGGGGAGAUUGGAAUUCCUGGUGUAGCGGUGGAAUGCGCAGAUAUCAGGAGGAACACCGAUGUCGAAGGCAGAUCUCUGGGCCGUAACUGACGCUGAGGAGCGAAAGCAUGGGGA
rnacentral:rRNA from 1 species